UAAUACGUAGGAGGCAAGCGUUAUCCGGAAUUACUGGGCGUAAAGCGCUCGUAGGCGGCCCGACAGGUGUUCGGUGAAAUCCCCCGGCUUACCCGGGGAAGGUCCGAGCAAACCGUAGGGCUGGAGGCAGGCAGAGGACCGUGGAACGUCCGGGGGAGUGGUGGAAUGCGUAGAUCCCGGACGGAACACCAGAGGCGAAGGCGGCGGUCUGGGUCUGACCUGACGCUGAGGGGCGAAAGCGUGGGGAGCAAACAGGAUUAGAUACCCUGGUAGUCCACGCCGUAAACGAUGGACGCUAGGUGUAUGGAGGGCUCAACCCCUCUGUGUGCCGGAGCUAACGCGGUAAGCGUCCCGCCUGGGGACUACGGUCGCAAGACUA
rnacentral:rRNA from 1 species